GAUCUUUUCCCAAUCUGUUGGUUGCCAUUUUGUCCUAUUGACAGUGUCCUUUGCCUUACAGAAAAAAGCUUUGCAAUUUUACAAAGUUCCAUUUGUCGAUUCUAGAUCUUAGAGCAUAAGCCCUUGGUGUUCUCUUCAGGAAAAUUUCCCCCGUGCCUAUGUGUUUGAGGCAAUUCCCCACUUUCUCUACUAGUUUUAGUGUAUCUGGUUUUAUAUGGAGGUCAUUGAUCCACUUGGACUUGAGCUUUGUACAGGGUGAUAAGAACGAAUUGAUUAGCAUUCUUCUACAUGCUGAUCUCCAGGUGAACCAGCACCAUUUUUUGAAAAUGCUGUAUUUUUUCCAUGGCAUGACUUUAGCUCCUUUGUCAAAGAUCAAGCGAUCAUAGACUGAAGGUCUGUAGCAACUCAACAGGAGAUCAAGGGGGAACUUCCUACUCCCUUCCUGGACUUAUGCUGAGGAACAAGAUGUAGACCUUUCAGCUCCUCCAGCUCCAUGUCUGCCUGGAUGCUGCCAUGUUCCCACCAUGACCAUAAUGAACUGAACCUCUGAGACUUGAUGCCACAGGGGAAAACCUGGAGAGUCCUUUGUGAAAGCUUAUGAUUACAAUCACAUCAUACCCACAAGGUACCCUGCAGAUAUCACCGUGGACAAACUGUUGCCAAUAAGGAUGUCUUUGGAGACCUAGCUCUGAAAUGCAAUGCCAGGUCAAGGUCAAGUUCGAGAAAUGAUAUAAAAGAGGAAAGAACAAAUGGUUUUUCUAGAUGCUUUUGUUUCAAUCAUUAAAAAAA